ACCGAAUUCAGAGUGGUGAAGUUUAAAAUAUGUUUGUGUUCCAUGUUUGAAACUUUGACGAAGUAAUUAAAAUUGAAUCAGUUAACUAAAACGACUUUUUUGAUUUUUAGGAUCUCAUUAUUGUCUUUCGGAAACAAAGUUGAUAACAUACAGGAGAAGACUGAAUUGAGUUUCGCUUUCUCAUCGAGGCGAUUGUUCAAAUCCAAAAACAGCACUUGUCGACUGUCGACACGUAUAUGACCUUACGACCUCCCACAUAAAUUUUGCAUAUAACUGGCAAUCCCAUUUACAAGCACACAAAGCAAAAUACAAACCACAGAAUUUGCGGUGAACGUUACCAAAUCGCCUUCAGUCAAGGAAAUAAUUAUUAUGCUUAACAACUCUCAUUAACUCCAAAACAAACACUUACCUUGAACACUCGAGAGACGAGAUGCAAUCACUUGAAAAUCUCGAAAGAAAUUGGCACCCUACUGUUCAUCUCCACGUGGCGAGAUCAUAAAAGAAUCAGGCGUGCGUUUGUUUAACAUUUAACAUUAUUUAUUUAUUGUUUUAAAGAGUUUCC